rnacentral:rRNA from 1 species
UACAGAGGGGGCAAGCGUUGUUCGGAAUUACUGGGCGUAAAGGGCGCGUAGGCGGCCUGCUAAGUCGGACGUGAAAUCCCCGGGCUCAACCCGGGAACUGCGUCCGAUACUGGUGGGCUUGAAUCCGGGAGAGGGAUGUGGAAUUCCAGGUGUAGCGGUGAAAUGCGUAGAUAUCUGGAGGAACACCGGUGGCGAAGGCGGCAUCCUGGACCGGUAUUGACGCUGAGGCGCGAAAGCCAGGGGAGCAAACGGG